rnacentral:rRNA from 1 species
GACUCAGCGGCGGACGGGUGAGUAAUGCCUAGGAAUCUGCCUGGUAGUGGGGGACAACGUUUCGAAAGGAACGCUAAUACCGCAUACGUCCUACGGGAGAAAGCAGGGGACCUUCGGGCCUUGCGCUAUCAGAUGAGCCUAGGUCGGAUUAGCUAGUUGGUGAGGUAAUGGCUCACCAAGGCGACGAUCCGUAACUGGUCUGAGAGGAUGAUCAGUCACACUGGAACUGAGACACGGUCCAGACUCCUACGGGAGGCAGCAGUGGGGAAUAUUGGACAAUGGGCGAAAGCCUGAUCCAGCCAUGCCGCGUGUGUGA